ensembl:lncRNA
CUCCAGCCCAAGUGCAAAACCUUGUGCUUUGUUGUUGUUCAUUAGAUUCACCCAAGCCAACCUUUCAAGUCUGUCAAGGUCCCUCUGAAUGGCAUCAUAGAAUCACAGAAUCAUAGAAUCUCUAAGGUUGGAAAAGACCCACAGGAUCAUCCAGUCCAACCAUUCGCCCUUCACCAAUGGUUCUCGCUAAACCAUGUCCCUCAACACAACAUCCAAACGCUCUUUGAACACCACCAGGCUCGGUGACUCCACCACCUCUCUGGGCAGCCCAUUCCAGUGCCUGACCACCCUUUCAGAGAAGUAGUAUUUCCUAACGUCCAGCCUGAAUCUUCCCUGGUGCAGCUUGAAGCCCUUCCUUCUACACAACAUCCAAACGCUCUUUGAACACCACCAGGCUCGGUGACUCCACCACCUCUCUGGGCAGCCCAUUCCAGUGCCUGACCACCCUUUCAGAGAAGU